UGAACUUUAAGUUAUAUAAACUAAAAGCCUUCAAAGCUUUAAAAAAGACCCUCUUAAGUUUAA
rnacentral:tRNA from 1 species